rnacentral:rRNA from 1 species
UACAGAGGGUGCGAGCGUUAAUCGGAAUUACUGGGCGUAAAGCGUGCGUAGACGGUUAUGUAAGUCGGGUGUGAAAGCCCCCGGGCUUAACCUGGGAACUGCGUUUGAAACUACAAGGCUAGAGUGUGGCAGAGGGGGGGUGGAAUUCCACGUGUAGCAGUGAAAUGCGUAGAGAUGUGGAGGAACACCGAUGGCGAAGGCAGCCCCCUCGGGUUAACACUGACGCUCAGGCACGAAAGCGUGGGGAGCAAACAGG